CCAUGUUCGCUGAGGUCUUUCUGUCACUGUGAAGUCAACCUACGACACUGUCAUUUAUCCAAUGACAUAAUGCUUCAUGGUUAAACAUCAUUGUCAUUUGUCUAGAUUUCCCAUAACCAUGGAAACACACCCCUGGGUCUCCAGAAAGAUUUUAUUGAGGAGGAUAGACCUACCCUGAAUGUGAGUGGUACCUUGAGGUUCUGGAUCACAUAAAAAGGAAACUCAAGCUUGGCACUAGACGUCAUCUCUUUGCUUCCUGACUGGAUACGACAUGAGCAGUGGCCUUACUCUCCUGCCCUAUCUGUGCACCAAAAUAAACUCUGACUUGAGAAGUAAAGUGACUAACACAUGCCUCUAGUCACUGGAGUCUGGUGCCCUUUAUGGAGUCUGGUGCCCUUCAAAUGUACUUUGAAUGAAGGAACAAAGGCAGAAGAGGCACGGAUAUGGCAGAGGCAACAUGGACACUGGUAUCUGAGCAAGAUGGAGUGCCAGUUACAAGCCAUGAGCAUCCACCCAGGUGCUCACCCACAGUAAAAAGCAAGAAGAUGACAUGGAUGAACAGCGUGCUUGGUUGUCAUCCCAGACCCUUAGAGACAGAAACACUGUGAACUCCAAGACAGCAAGGACUACAUAGUAAGACUUUGUGUCAAGACGAAUCUUGUAUUUACUGUGAGAAAAAAAAUGUGGAAAAGAAGAGAAAACAAAAAAUAAGAACUACAAUCUGGAUUAAGAAAAGAAGAGGUAAAGAGAAUUAUGUGGAAAACUAGAAGAGAGACAUAUAAACUAGAGAACAAAGGAUGGAGAAAAAGAAGGAAAACGUUAAUACACAGGUAGCAAUUAUCUCUUUGAAGGAUCAGCCAUAAUUUUGACAAGCACACGAUAGUUAGUUCUCAGAGCAUCCCAUGAACCAGAAUGAGGCUCAAUAGUGGACAUGGUGGAGUCUUAGCAGCCACUGAAUAGCAUGAUCAAAAUACUCAAUUUCAACAGGCUUUGAAUAAGCAAAUAGAAGUAGACGCCUCAGCUUACACCAGGGUCCAGUCAGUAACUUGACAGAAUUUUUAUGUUUUCUGAUCUUAAAGGCUUUACAUGUUAUUGCUUGAGUGAUGUCCCAUGUAUAGGAGGAGGCCCUUCACACAAGCAAGACACUGCUAGUCCUUUCAGGCAGGAGACAGACUAGAAUGUUCACUCGUUGCCAGGUUUAGCCUCUGAGGAGCCCGAGAGACCAUCCUAGUCCCUUUAUGGACCUCUUUUAGAAGCUAAGCUGAGGACUGAAUCCGAAGAAUUUUGCGACCACAGCAUGUUUCUCUUAACAUGAUAUUUAGGGUACUUGGAAGCCUUCUAGAAGGGAAGUUUCUCUUAACUCCUUAAUCCCUUUCCUAGGAUGGUGUCUACGUCCCAGGGAAUGAGCCUCCCCUGACUGAUAUUCUCUGAGAUGUGUGGCUCCCUAUCUGAACACCUGUGUUCCACUCAGAUGCUCUACUUCUUAGUUAUUUUCAGUUCCAGGAAUAUUUCUUGGUCUCUUGAAGUGUUCUGAGCCCUAAGGAGAGACUAGAGCUCCCCAGAGCCCUUCACUCUUUCCUUUCCUUCUGCCUGGGCAUUUCCAGGAAUAGAUGCCUAGGUCCCACACAUCAAGGCUCCCAAAUACAAUUAUUCUCUGGCCAGUGGUGGGGACAAGUCCCUGGGGUGACGCACUGGCUCCUUCCUUCCCUCUGACAACCCUUAUCCUGCGGUGGUGGUGGUGUGUGUGGGGGGGGGGUUGCACUGAAGUGGGAACAGGAGAAAUGAACAAAUAAAAAAUUAGUCUUAU
ensembl:lncRNA